GCAAAAGACCAUAGCAUGGGAAGGAAGAGUAAGUCAUGAAACAGACAGCAGACAAAAACAGAAAUUAUAUGUCUCGGGAAGCCUUGUCUAAGGAGGCAUUAUAAAACUUAAGAUCCAUGGAAAAAAAGGUUCUGGCUCUCAUUUACAGUAUUUUGACUAUAAAUACAGUAAAGAACAGCAGAUAUGAACUUUUUCAACCUUCAAUCAACUCUCUUGUGUAUAGUUUAGACAAUCAGCAUAUGGUUUGGUGUGUGUAUUGUAUGUAUAAAACGAUUGAUAAUGAGUAACCUAGAAACAUAAGAAAGGCGAUAGAAACAGUUAUUAUAUAUAUAUGUGCAUUUAUAUAUUUAUGUGUGUGUAUAUAUAUAUAUGUGUGCGUGUGUGUAUUUGUAAAAAUUUCCUAGGUAUAUUAUAGAAAGUUUGAGGAGCUAUGUUUAGGAUACAUAAAUAGAUUCUUUUAAUUUUUGAAUCAGUUUCAGAAAACUUCAAUUUUGUAAUAUGUUUAAAAAAUGACUUGUGUUAUUAUUUUCUAAAAGGUAAGUGACUACUUGUUUAGUGACCUUGAAUUUAGCACUCAUGCUGUCUAUUGUGAAAUCCUAUGGAAUACUGUCAUGCAACACAGUUUCUGAGAAUGGCGUUGGACACUUGGUGUAAUAAGACAUGUCUCCAUCUGGCUUCAUGGAAGUUUAAGCGCUCAUCCAUCCCUUCCUUAAACUUCAGGCCCCUGAUACUUUCAGUGUAAGAUAUGUAGUGGAGAGUGCAUUCUUCUCACACCCUUAACUGCUCUUCAAAGUCUUCAACGCUCACUGUGGCAUCCCCAUACUCCCUCUGUGAGAAACAAAAGAAAAAUGGAUUUAGUUUUGUCUCCUGCAAUCCACAUGAUGAUUUGGUUGCACAUGUCUUGUACCAAGACGGACGGGGAGAGAGGAAUCUAGAAAUGCAUUCUGUGAAAUUUUUGCUGAAACAUAGUCCCAGAAUUUAAUCUGUUGAGCUUACCCUUUUCUUUGCUCCAUUUCUGUUUACAAUGUCUUCCUUUUGUCUGCUUUCCCUAAUUUUCAGCAAGUUCAUGAUGGUACAUCCUAGUGGGAUACUGCAAAGAAGGAAGGUUUAUUAGUUUAAAAUAGGUUUGGAAUCUGCAUUUGACCCAGAUCAGUUUUCUCAUUCAUACAGCACGAUCAUGGCUGCUAUUUCUCAGCUGUUGUAAAGACUAAAUACCAUUUAGUAGUUUUUGAGCAUAGCGUGAAAACCAUAGAUCCUAAUAAAGGCUCAUUGUGUCUCCAAUCCUUUUCCAAAACCCAGGGAACUUUAGCCAGUUGUGAAGGUCUAUUCCAAGUAGAAGAUGUUGUGAUUUCUCUAUUUUACCUCAGAGGCUUCAUAGAGAUCACUGAAAGCUUUGGGGGGAAAUUCAUGACUGGGAAGGAAUUUCAUUCUAAUGUAGAAACAUAUUGCUCUUAUACUAGAGGGCCAGGAAAUGAAUUACGCAAAAGAAAUGAAAAAAUAUGAAUUUUGCUCUUGAGAAUGCUCAGUAUAAAAGAAAACACAAAUAUGUUGAUGAGCAAAUAUAAUAAAGUGUGUCAAAUGAGCCAAGUCCCUGAAGAUGAUUAGGACAAAAUGUGGGAAGGGGGUUAAGGAUGGCUCUCUGUAGGGGGCGCCAGAAUAGUUUUCACAUGAAGCUAGAACUGAAAGAAACGUAUGGAAGGGGACUUGGGAAGGAGAGUCAUAUGGAGACUCAAUGUCAUGCUCCAGCAUAACAAAUAGAAAACCUCAAAUCGUAUGCUGUUGUACGAAAUCAUUUGGAACUUGUAAAAAGACAGGCAGGACUCGUAAGUGGUAUGGCUUUUACAUCAGAAACCAAUAAUCACUUUGUAGCAUUGGCAGAAACGAUCCUGUUGACAUCUUUAUUAUUUCUCAGAAGCUUUUGAUUUUCCCGUUGAGAUUUUUGUCCUCUUCAGCCUCUGCAAAUUCCUCUUUACGCUGUCUUUCCUGUAAAAUAUGAUGACAACUCUCACCUUAUGUGCUGUUCAGACCAAACAUUUGAAAAUAUUAUCACCAUCCUUCCUCUCGAAGCCCAGAUCCACCCUGCAGCAAAUCUAGCCCUGUCUCACUUCUCAGCUUGCUUUGUCUUGUCCUCUACGACGAGUCCAAACCCAGCCACCACAUUCACUGUCUGCUCUGUUAUGGGGCUUUCUUGAGAAAUUACUCUCUGGCUUCCUCUGUUUCCUGUCCCUUCUAUUUCUGUACUCCCUGUAAAAUGUAGUUAUAGCGUGUCAUAAUUCUCCUCCCAAAGCCCCAGGAUCCCUCUGCACUUGGCAUGAACACCAAAGUCAUCUUCUUGACAUAGGCAUUGCUCAUGUUCUCCCACUCCCAUGUGACCUCAAUUCUUGAUAAUGUCCCCCCACCAAAUUUGCUGUAGCUGUGUUUUUCUCCCUUUUACUCCUUACACACUGACAUUUUCCCACUUAGUGUCUCUAUAUUAGCCAUUUCCUUUUUGAAAAAAUUCUCUUCUUUUAUUUCUCUUCACAAGUAAGAAGACAGUUAUAUUUCUUCAUGCUUGAUCAAAUGGCAUCUUCCUAUUGAAGCUGUAGGUCAGCUCCCUAAACAAUAGUUUUUUACACCAUUCAACGGAGGUGACAUUGAGUACCUCUGUUUCAAGGACUCUUCUUUUCCUUCAGAAGUCAUUCUUGACCUCUGCUGUCAUGUAUUUGCAAUUAAAUUAUUCUUUUUUUUCUUUUUUUUCCUUUUCCAUUUUUAUUAGGUAUUUAGCUCAUUUACAUUUCCAAUGCUAUACUGAAAGUCCCCCAUACCCACCAACCCCCACUCCCCUACCCACCCACUCCCCCUUUUUGGCCCUGGCGUUCCCCUGUACUGGGGCAUAUAAAGUUUGCGUGUCCAAUGGGCCUCUCUUUCCAGUGAUGGCCGACUAGGCCAUCUUUUGAUACAUAUGCAGCUAGAGUCAAGAGCUCCGGGGUACUGGUUAGUUCAUAAUGUUGUUCCACCUAUAGGGUUGCAGAUCCCUUUAGCUCCUUGGGUACUUUAUCUAGCUCCUCCAUUGGGAGCCCUGUGAUCCAUCCAUUAGCUGACUGUGAGCAUCCACUUCUGUGUUUGCUAGGCCCCGGCAUAGUCUCACAAGAGACAGCUACAUCUGGGUCCUUUCGAUAAAAUCUUGCUAGUGUAUGCAAUGGUGUCAGCGUUUGGAUGCUGAUUAUGGGGUGGAUCCCUGGAUAUGGCAGUCUCUACAUGGACCAUCCUUUCAUCUCAGCUCCAAACUUUGUCUCUGUAACUCCUUAUUCUUAAUUAUUCUUAAUGCUGUUAGUUUUAAUCCCUUUGCUUUUAAGUAAAAGUCAUAUUGUUGGUAGCUGAUCCAUCACAAAGAUGUAAAAUAAAGACAGAAAAAUAGUGCCUUCAAAUAAACUUCCUGCAUAUACAAGUAGAGGGAGGUCUUACACAUAAUGAUCAUGCUGGGUAGGUUACAGGGUAGAAAGGAUUCUUGGAAGAAGCAAAGGUGUUUGAAACCUGAAGGUGAGUAAGUUCCAUAGAGCAGGGGAUCAGAGGCUCUAAGUAGAGGAAAAACUAUACGAAAGUUUUCCAGUCCAGGAAAACAGAAAUCUCACAUCAGUCUGGGAACUGAAUAGAGGUAUCUAAGGACUGUGCAGAGUCUGGGAGUACUGACCUGACAGGUAUGGGGCUCUGAGUUCCAUGCCCAGCAUGAUGAAAGGCUGUAACAUUCAGGAGGUGGGUGCUGAUCAGUUGCUUACAAGAUGGUAACUGGAUUCCCUGGCAACAAGUUGUUGCAAGAAUCACAAGGGAGAAAGGUAUCUCAAAAUUGUUCAGGCAGGCCAGGGUGGAGCCAACAUUGUGCCUACAGAUGGGUAUAAACAAAUGCAUUUAUCACAUUACCAUUCUUCCUUAAUUUAUUUGUAAAAGAAAUAAUUGCAGACAUUACAACCAUUUGUAUCUAUUUACAGUUAAGAGAUAUAUGCAGAU
rnacentral:lncRNA from 1 species